rnacentral:lncRNA from 10 species
UUUUUAUUUUUUCAUAUUUUUUCAGCCUCAAGGUACUCCUUCCCAGAUCUAGACAAGGUCCCCAAGGAAGAUCAAAACAUUUUUGAGGUCAGGAACUAUUCCAACUCACACUAUCUAGACUACAGACUAAUUUAAAGACUACAGACAAUCAACAAAAGCUGCUAUUUAACUCAAAGGACAGAACAACUAUUUUCAAAUAUUUGAGGAGCUGUCACAUGAGAGAUACUUAUUCAGUCUCUUUUGCAAGGGCAGAGGCAAACAAUGCAGGGUAAUGAUGGGGAAACAGACCUCAGGAGGAAGAACUGGGGGUGAGGAUGAUGGGGGGAUAGAGGGUGGAGUGCACAAGAGUUGUAUGAAGCAGCCUGGACUUGACAGACACACAUCCUUCAUUAGCACUCCUGCUCAGAAUGAGCUGAUGACCAUGACUAUUAUACCAAAUAUCAAGUGAAAGAAUUACACAAUGGGUUUGAGUUUCUUCUACAGAACUGAGAUGUAAGAAGUAUCAAAUUUUUUUACCUUUUCAUAUCAAAUUAGACUGGCUCUGAACCUCUAGUCUGUCCAUUCCAUCUCCUUGGAGCGUAUAAGAAUUUCAGGUCUUACCUAGUCCCAAGAGACAGAGAAGGGCUUGGUCC